CACUAACAGGAGCGUGGAAGACUCCAGAAUCCACUCUGGCUGGAAUCCGGUGGAUACAGCAGUGUUUACAGGUACAGUACGUGAUAUCAAGGGCAGGCGGUCAUCACUGGGGGUAGACAAGAAGCAGACGUACUUCCAAGAGGGAGCUGCAGUGAGGACACAGCCAGGUCACUGAGGAGGCGCUGGAAGGUUUCCCUAAUAGUUCCUGGUGAAUCAAAGCAGAACCAUAAAGGUUGCUGGAUUGCAUGAUGGCCUUACCCCUGAGCAGUCAUCCUGUUAAAGGAGGAACCAGUUAGAAGCUGUUUUCAAAGUAGCUGAGCAGAUUUCAUCUCAACAGACAAAGCCGAUGGCAGAAGAUGUCAGAGAAGAACUUCAGGCCGUGUACUGAAAAGUAGAUCAAAGCAGCUCGUGCUCCUUCUGCUUCCAAUUUAGAAGAAGAAGAAGAAGGCGAAGGCUUCAGCAAAGUGGCGUUCAUGGUCUCAGUGAACAGUCACGGUCACACACUGCAUGUGGUUUUAAAAGCAACAUGUCUGUUCACCACAACAAUGGAGAUGUGUAAUAUUAGUGCAGCUACGGUUUGUUCUUGAACAUCAGUUCUGUUUUCUACUUUGAUCACUUAGACCAAAAAAGUGUUGUUUUCAGAUUCUUUCUUUUAAAUCUAUAAAGCACCUGCUCAUUUUUUUAUUACAAUUAGUUUCACAUAAAUGUUAGUUUUUCCUUUAUGAUCUUUUAAUGCUUACACUACACUGUACACAUUAGAGACAUUUCUGUUACCUGUUUCUGUUGACUCAGAGUUGUGAAAUGUUCUUUUAUUUAAUGCACAAUAUGAAGUUCAUAAUUUUCUUACAAAUAAAACUCUAAUGACAAA
ensembl:lncRNA